rnacentral:rRNA from 1 species
AUGGCCGGGGUGGUGGAGGAGCUGGUGAAGAAGGCCGGCGGGUGCGCGGUGAUCGACGGCGGCUUCGCCACGCAGCUGGAGGCGCUCGGCGCCGACAUCAACGACUCGCUCUGGAGCGCCGCCUGCCUCAUCACCAAGCCGCACCUCAUCAAGGAGGUCCAUAUGCAGUAUCUUGAAGCUGGUGCCGACGUCAUCAUCUCCUCGUCCUACCAGGCAACUAUCCCGGGGUUCCUGGCCAGAGGACUGCUCCUGGAGGAGGCAGAAGGAUUACUGCGAACCAGCGUCCAGCUGGCACGGGAGGCCCGAGACGAGUUCUGGAAGUCGACGCUGCGGAGCUCCAAGCCCGUCUACAACCGCGCCCUCGUUGCCGCCUCCAUCGGGAGCUACGGAGCCUACCUAGCGGAUGGAUCAGAGUACAGUGGGUCGUACGGAGACGACGUCACGUCGGAGAAGCUCAAGGACUUCCACCGGCGCCGGCUGCAGGUCCUGGCGAACGCGGGGCCCGACCUGAUCGCGUUCGAGGCCAUUCCCAACAAGAUGGAGGCUAAGGCUCUGGUUGAGCUUCUAGAGGAGGAGAACAUCCAGGUGCCGUCGUGGAUCUGCUUCAGCUCGGUGGACGGCAAGCACCUCUGCUCGGGGGAGAGCUUCGGGGACUGCCUCGAGAUCCUCAACGCCAGCGAGAAGGUCGCCAUCGUGGGGGUGAACUGCACGCCGCCUCAGUUCGUGGAGGGCAUCAUACGCGACUUCAAGAAGCAAACGAAGAAGGCGAUCGCGGUGUACCCCAACAGCGGCGAGGUCUGGGACGGGAGAGCCAAGAGGUGGCUGCCGGUGGAGUGCUUCGGCCGCAAGAGCUUUGACGUGAUGGCGAGGCGGUGGCAGGAGGCCGGCGCCAGCCUCGUGGGAGGAUGCUGCCGGACGACGCCGUCGACCAUCCGGGCGGUCUCCAAUGCGCUCAAGAGCAGGAACGGGCAGUGA